rnacentral:tmRNA from 1 species
GGGGCUGUCACGGUUUCGACGUUUUGGCGAACGCUACUUUGUGAUACAGGUCGAGAGCGAGCUAACUCUCGUAAAUCAAUGGCUCAACAUGAGUACAUGCGAACAACAUCGUACCCUUUGCUCGUAAAGCAGCUGCGGUUGCCUAAACACCUCUUAUAGGUUCGAGCGUCUACUGUUUGACUCCGUUAAGGACGGUAGACCAACCCCCAACGGACGCUCAAGUCGGCUGCCUCGGGUCAACGACUUGCUAAGACUUUACUCGAGAAUCCCACCGUCUGGGAUAAGAGACGGUUCCCGCUCUGAGGAUCAGAAGGGCUAAACCUGUGAAUGAGUGAGGUACUAAUAACCAGGGCGGACACGGGUUCGACUCCCGUCAGCUCCAUUC